UCUUGACUCAGAUUUCUCCAAUGACUCUCCAUUUCACUCAGACCAAAAGCCAAAAUCCUCCCAAAGACCUCUUACCCACUCUUCCUCCUCUGACCACAGCUCCUACUACCCUCUUUUUCAGGUCCCUGUAUUCUGGCUACCUUGACCUCAUUGCUUCAGGUCCUUCUCCUUCUCUAAGGAACAUGUUUCCCCAGAUAACCUCAAGGUCAAGGUUGGCUAAUAUUUGGAGCUCCAUAUGUAUCGCUAUCUGGCCAGCUGGCUAAGCAGGACAUGGAGGCUGCACAUUAGAAAAUUCAGGAAACUCUCCAUUGAAGGAAGUCAAGUCACUCAAGGCCAAAGCUUUCACCACUGUCCUUUUAGGAACAUCCUAUUAACGACUGAUCUUGGUAGUUAACACACAAUUACAAGUGACUUAUAGACACAUCAUUCCAGUGGGGUUCAGGAAUCUCUGUUUGCUACAGUAUAAAUGUAUUAAUUUUGUGUAAUUUGAAUAACUGAUAUUCAUUGGUCUCUGUCUAAACAAUAUAUAGGUGUUAUUUCAUUGAAUUAUUGCAAAUACCUUGCAAGGUGAAAAUUACUAUCCUUAUUUUAUAGAUGAAGAAAGUGAGGCUCAGAAAAUAUAAACAACUUUGAAAAGAAGUAUCUGAAACCCAAAGGACAAGAUGAUAAUUGUAUCCAAAAUUCUGGUGCUCUGAAUGAACAGAACAGGCUUAGAAUCUCCCUUUCCAUCUGCUGCCUAAAAAGCACUCAUUUCUAGUUUUUAUACAAUAUUCUCCUAUGUGCAGCAUGCUCAUAGCACUUUAUUAGCUAUAUAUUAUUCCCAAAUGGAGAUAAAAUUUGUUGAUUAUAAAAGUGACAUACAUUCACUGUGAAACAUCCCAACAAUAUGGAAACAUGUAAAGAAAAUUACCAUAUAAUGAUUUCAAAAGCAUGCAAUAACUACUGUUAAUACUGUGAGGUUGUCCAUUCAGAUUUUUUCCUGUGCACCUGCACUCAUAUAUACAUACAUUUUCCUUGAGUAAUGCUAUACCUUUCUGAUAACUUUCUCUUUUUUUUCACAUUGUGUGGUAGCUGUUAAGAUGUAUAGAUUCAAAUCAUCAUUUUUAAUAGAUGAUAGUUGUCCAAUAAAUGGAUAUAACAUAAUAAAGCAUAUACAUUGUU